GAUGAACGCUGGCGGCGUGCCUAAUACAUGCAAGUCGAGCGAACAGACGAGGAGCUUGCUCCUCUGACGUUAGCGGCGGACGGGUGAGUAACACGUGGAUAACCUACCUAUAAGACUGGGAUAACUUCGGGAAACCGGAGCUAAUACCGGAUAAUAUAUUGAACCGCAUGGUUCAAUAGUGAAAGACGGUUUUGCUGUCACUUAUAGAUGGAUCCGCGCCGCAUUAGCUAGUUGGUAAGGUAACGGCUUACCAAGGCAACGAUGCGUAGCCGACCUGAGAGGGUGAUCGGCCACACUGGAACAGAGACACGGUCCAGACUCCUACGGGAGGCAGCAGUAGGGACUCUUCCGCAAUGGGCGAAAGCCGGACGGAGCAACGCCGCGGGAGUGAUGAAGGUCUUCGGAUCGUAAAACUCUGUUAUUAGGGAAGAACAAAUGUGUAAGUAACUAUGCACGUCUUGACGGUACCUAAUCAGAAAGCCACGGCUAACUACGUG
rnacentral:rRNA from 1 species